rnacentral:rRNA from 1 species
UACAGAGGUCCCAAGCGUUGUCCGGAAUUAUUGGGCGUAAAGCGCGCGCAGGCGGUCCUUUAAGUCUGAUGUGAAAGCCCACGGCUCAACCGUGGAGGGUCAUUGGAAACUGGGGGACUUGAGUGCAGAAGAGGAAAGCGGAAUUCCACGUGUAGCGGUGAAAUGCGUAGAGAUGUGGAGGAACACCAGUGGCGAAGGCGGCUUUCUGGUCUGUAACUGACGCUGAGGCGCGAAAGCGUGGGGAGCAAACAGG